rnacentral:lncRNA from 1 species
GAAGCAGGUCGUCUACAAAUGGUUUAGCACCAGGUUCCCCACGAACGUGUGUUGCAUGACGGGCAAGGAGGCCACCUUUCCAGCCACACCCUUCCCAGGAGGAAGGGCACUCUGCACCGGACCCAGUCCUAGCACAUGGUGGGGCACACCCCACCAAGGGUGAGGCAGCCCACCAGCGGGGGAUUCUGACUUAGAGGCGUUCAGUCACAAUCCAACAGACCGUAGCUUCACCCCAUUGGCUCCUCAACCAAGCACAUGUCUGAACUUGCCAUUCCUCUCAUGCUGAGCAGGAUUACCAUUGCAACAACACACAUCACGGAGGGUAAAACUAACCUGUCUCACUACGAUCUAAAUCCAGCUCACAUGCCCUAUUAGUGGGUGAACAAUCCAAUGCUUGGUGAAUUCUACUUCACAAUGAUAGGAAGAACCAACAUUACAGGAUCAAAAAACAUCCCUAUGAAUGCUUGGCCGCAACGAACCAGUUAUCC